AGAUUGAACGCUGGCGGAAUGCUUUACACAUGCAAGUCGAGCGGCAGCGCGGGGGCAACCCUGGCGGCGAGCGGCGAACGGGUGAGUAAUACAUCGGAACGUGUCCUUGAGUGGGGGAUAGCUCGGCGAAAGCCGGAUUAAUACCGCAUAAGCUCUGAGGAGGAAAGCGGGGGAUUCGCAAGGACCUCGCGCUGUUGGAGCGGCCGAUGUCGGAUUAGCUAGUUGGUGGGGUAAAGGCCCACCAAGGCGACGAUCCGUAGCUGGUCUGAGAGGAUGAUCAGCCACACUGGAACUGAGACACGGUCCAGACUCCUACGGGAGGCAGCAGUGGGAUUUUGGACAUGGGGCAACCCUGAUCCAGCCAUUCCGCGUGAGUGAAGAAGGCCUUCGGGUUGUAAAGCUCUUUCGGACGGAACGAAUGGUUACGCUAACACCUGUGACUGAUGACGGUACCGUAAGAAGAAGCGACCGCUAACGUACGUGCCGAG
rnacentral:rRNA from 1 species